UUGAUCUCAAAUCAGGUAGGACUACCCGCUGAACUUAAGCAUAUCAAUAAGCGGAGGAAAAGAAACUAACAAGGAUUCCCCUAGUAACUGCGAGUGAAGCGGGAAGAGCUCAAAUUUAAAAUCUGGCGUGCCUCUGGUCGUCCGAGUUGUAGUCUGGAGAAGCGUCUUCCGUGUUGGACCGUGUAUAAGUCUCUUGGAACAGGGCGUCAUAGAGGGUGAGAAUCCCGUCUUUGACACGGACUACCAAUGCUUUGUGAUGCGCUCUCAAAGAGUCGAGUUGUUUGGGAAUGCAGCUCAAAAUGGGUGGUAAAUUCCAUCUAAAGCUAAAUAUAGGCGAGAGACCGAUAGCGAAC
rnacentral:rRNA from 1 species